GAUGAAGAACGUAGUGAAAUGCGAUAAGUAGUGUGAAUUGCAGAAUUCAGUGAAUCAUCGAAUCUUUGAACGCACAUUGCGCCCCUUGGUAUUCCAUGGGGCAUGCCUGUUCGAGCGUCAUUUGUACCCUCAAGCUAUGCUUGGUGUUGGGUGUUUGUCCUCUCCUUUGCGAUUGGACUCGCCUUAAAGACAUUGGCAGCCAGUGUAUUGGUCUUGAAGCGCAGCACAUUUUGCGAUUCUUGCUGAUAAUCACUAGCGUCCAGUAAGCCUAUUUUAACACUUUUGACCUCGGAUCAGGUAGGGAUACCCGCUGAACUUAAGCAUAUCAAUAAGCGGAGGA
rnacentral:misc_RNA from 1 species